rnacentral:miRNA from 1 species
UGUGGGGACAUUUCUGUGGCAUU